AUGGCGGGCGCGGUGGAGUUACUGGCGGCGGUGACCGCGGCAGAGCAGAUGCUCGUGGAGGUUUUGCGGGGAGAGGUGGUGGAGCUGGAUACGGCCGCGCCGCCGGAGCAGGUGGAGGUGCGCAGUAUGGACGCGGCGGUCAUGGCAACUUUGUGGUCGCGGAGGGGCGGCCGGAGGUGGUUAUCGGGCUGCAGUGCGCCAGUUUGCAGGAGAUGGAACUGGAGCAUCGUCCGGCACCGGUUGUGGCGAUGCUGGCAGACAUGCUUUUCGCGCCCCGACCGGAGGUUUCGUCCAAGGGCCGGCAGGUUCUCAGCAUUAUGUACCUCGCCGGGGAGGCUUCUUCAGAGGUGGACGUGGUGGAGCCGACAGAUUAGGCCGGAAUGGUCCCCGUGCCCCGCGCCGUGA
rnacentral:rRNA from 1 species